rfam:Triticum aestivum genome assembly, contig: Triticum_aestivum_CS42_TGACv1_scaffold_556520_7AL
UCCGUCCGGAAUUACUUGUCGUAGAAAUGGAUGGAAAUGAAUGUAUCUAGAACUAAAAUACGUCUAGAUACAUCCAUUUCUCCGACAAGUAUUUCCGGACGGA